rnacentral:rRNA from 1 species
GACGAACGCUGGCGGCGUGCUUAACACAUGCAAGUCGAACGGAAAGGCCCUGCUUUUGUGGGGUGCUCGAGUGGCGAACGGGUGAGUAACACGUGAGUAACCUGCCCUUGACUUUGGGAUAACUUCAGGCAACUGGGGCUAAUACCGGAUAGGAGCUCCUGCUGCAUGGUGGGGGUUGGAAAGUUUCGGCGGGUGGGGAUGGACUCGCGGCUUAUCAGCUUGUUGGUGGGGUAGUGGCUUACCCAGGCAUUGACUGGUAGCCGGCAUGAGAGGGUGACCAGGGACAAUGCGACUGCGAUACGGCCCAGACUGCUACGUGAGGCAGCAGGGGGGAAUAUGGCACAAUGGGCGGAAGCCUGAGGCGGCAAUGCCGCGAGCGGGAAGACGGCCUUCGGGUGGUAAACCGCAUUCGCUUGUGACGUAGCGUGAGUGACGGUAACGGGUAAAGAAGCACCGGCUAACUACGUG